rnacentral:rRNA from 1 species
CAGUCGCCACGGUAACACGGAGGGUGCAAGCGUUAAUCGGAAUUACUGGGCGUAAAGCGUGCGUAGGUGGUGGUUUAAGUCCGUUGUGAAAGCCCUGGGCUCAACCUGGGAAUUGCAGUGGAUACUGGGUCACUAGAGUGUGGUAGAGGAUAGUGGAAUUUCCGGUGUAGCAGUGAAAUGCGUAGAGAUCGGAAGGAACAUCUGUGGCGAAGGCGACUAUCUGGGCCAACACUGACACUGAGGCACGAAAGCGUGGGGAGCAAACAGGAUUAGAUACCCGCGUAGUCCCUGUCUCUUAUAC